rnacentral:rRNA from 1 species
ACUAACAAGGAUUCCCCUAGUAACUGCGAGUGAAGCGGGAAAAGCUCAAAUUUAAAAUCUGGCAGUCUUUGGCUGUCCGAGUUGUAUUCUAGAGAAGCGCUUUCCGUGCCGGACCGUGUACAAGUCUCUUGGAACAGAGCGUCAUAGAGGGUGAGAAUCCCGUCUUUGACACGGACUACCGGUGCUUUGUGAUGCGUUUUCAAAGAGUCGAGUUGUUUGGGAAUGCAGCUCAAAAUGGGUGGUAAAUUCCAUCUAAAGCUAAAUAUUGGCGAGAGACCGAUAGCGAACAAGUACCGUGAGGGAAAGAUGAAAAGCACUUUGGAAAGAGAGUUAAACAGUACGUGAAAUUGCUGAAAGGGAAACGCUUGAAGUCAGUCGCGUCGUUCAGAACUCAGCCUGGCUUUUGCUCGGUGCACUUUCUGAAUGACGGGCCAGCAUCAAUUUUGACUGUCGGAUAAAGGCCAGAGAAAUGUGGCUCCUUUGGGAGUGUUAUAGUCUCUGGUUGCAUACGAUGGUUGGGAUUGAGGAACUCAGCAUGCCUUUAUGGUCGGGGUUCGCCCACGUUCAUGCUUAGGAUGCUGGCGUAAUGGCUUUAAACGACCCGUCUUGAAACACGGACCAAGGAGUCUAACAUGCCUGCGAGUGUUUGGGUGGAAAACCCGAGCGCGCAAUGAAAGUGAAAGUUGGGAUCCCUGUCGUGGGGAGCACUGACGCCCGGACCAGACCUUCUGUGACGGAUCCGCGGUAGAGCAUGUAUGUUGGGACCCGAAAGAUGGUGAACUAUGCCUGAAUAGGGUGAAGCCAGAGGAAACUCUGGUGGAGGCUCGUAGCGAUUCUGACGUGCAAAUCGAUCGUCAAAUUUGGGUAUAGGGGCGAAAGACUAAUCGAACC